GAUCUCCUCUCCUCCGCCGCCGAGCGUCGCCUCAGGGGGCGGGAGGCUGGAGGCCGCAAGAUGGCGGCGGGAGCGGCCGGCUGGCUGUUGGCCGUCACCGCCCGCUCCGGGGCCCUUCGGAGGGGGGUGAGGCUGGGAAGCGGCGGGGCGGCGCGGAACGCUGCCCGGAGCGGCUCGGCGGCGGCCCGGGUCCCUUCGCGGACCGUCAUCGCCACCCGCAGCGGCGCCAUUUUACCCAAGCCGGCCAAAAUGUCCUUCGGCCUCCUGCGGGUGUUCUCCAUCGUGAUCCCUUUCCUCUACGUCGGGACGCUCAUCAGUAAGAAUUUUGCCGCCCUGCUCGAGGAACACGACAUUUUCGUCCCCGAGGAUGACGACGACGACGAUUAACCGAUCACGAUCCUUGCGUGGCAUAGGGGCAGCGUCCGAUCCGAUGGAUGUGUGGGGGCCCCCGUGUCUAGAGAGCUUUUUGGAGGAGCAGAAGGGAGACAAGCCAACAAUCGGGCGGCGAUGAUGUGGUCACUGCUUCCUUCCGUCCUAGCGAGAGAGCGGGGCCGACCGUCCGGACCUCCAGCUCUGUGAGCCCGCGACCGUCGGCCGCGGGACCACACAGUAAGCACUCGUGGACCCCGGGGUCCGGCGGCCCUGGGGGUCAUUUGACCUCUGGCCGGGACACGUCCUCGGCAUCAGCUCAAAGAACCCACAGUCUGAUAAUGAAUAAUAAACCCACUGAGGUACCAGAA